rnacentral:tRNA from 1 species
AGGGAUGUACACAGCUUGGUAGCGUGUUGGGUAUAAAAUGUCACAGGUUCAAAUCCUAUCAUCCCUG